rnacentral:lncRNA from 1 species
CACACAGUGUAGUCCAGACAUACAGAGCAGCACUACACACAGAGUAUAGACCAGACAUACAGAGCAGCACUACACACAGAGUGUAGACCAGACAUACAGAGCAGCACUACACACAGAGCAGCACUACACACAGAGUGUAGACCAGACAUACAGAGCAGCACUACACACAGAGUGUAGACCAGACAUACAGAGCAGCACAACACAGAGUGUAGACCAGACAUACAGAGCAGCACUACACACAGAGCAGCACUAUACAGAGUGUAGACCAGACAUACAGAGCAGCACUACACAGAGUGUAGACCAGACAUAUAGAGCAGCACUACACACAGGAAGUGUAGACCAGACAUACAGAGCAGCACUACACACAGAGUGUAGACCAGACAUACAGAGCAGCACUACACACAGAGAGUACCAGACAUACAGAGCAGCACUACACACAGACAGACAGGGGCCCUGUGCUCUUUCAGGAAGUUGCACUGAUCCAAUCACUGAUGCAUUUUGUUCGUAUCUUAUGAUUAACUUGGGCAAAUUAAUCCAUUUCAUAAUUUUCACUAUGAAAAUGUUUGCACUCACUACUGUAAGUCGCUAUGGAUAAGAGUGUCUGCUAAAUGACAAUAAUACAGUAAGCUUUCUUGAAUUUGUUCUGUAUUUGGGGACUGUGAAAAGACCCCUGGUGGCAUGUCUGGUGGGGUAAGUGUGUGUGUCGGAUCUGUGUGUAGUUGACAAUGUAAAAAAUGUGGGAUCUAACACAAUCUAUAUAUUUUUUAUUUAACUAGGCAAGUCAAUUAAAAACUAAUUCUUAUUUACAAUGACGGCCUGGGAUAAAAAAAUGUAAAUGUUUUUAAAUAUAUAAAUAUAGGACAAAAGACACUUCUUAUAAGAAGAAGUGAUGCAGUCAGUCUUUCCUCAACUCUUAGCCAAGAGAGACUGGCAUCCAUAGUAUUAAUAUCAGCCCUCUGAUUACAAUGACGAGCAAGACGUCCCGCUCUGUUCUGGACCAGCUGCAGCUUAACUAGGUCUUUCCUUGCAGCACUGGACCACACGACUGGACAAUAAUCAAGAUUAGACAAAACUAGAGCCUGCAGGACCUGCUUUUUACAGUGUGGUGUCAAAAAAGCAAAGCAUCCCUUUAUUACGGCCAGACCUCUCCCCAUCUUUACAACCAUUGAAUCUGUAUGUUUUGACCAUUAGAGUUUACAAUCUAAGGUAACGCCAAGUAAUUUAGUCUCCUCAACUUGUUCAACAGCCACACCAUUCAUUACCAGAUUCAGCUGAGGUCUAGAACUCUAGGAAGGAUUUGUACCAAAUACAACGCUCUUAGUUUUAGAGAUGUUCAGGACCAGUUUAUUACUGGCCACCCAUUCCAAAACAGACCUCAACUCUUUAAGGUUUUCAGUGACUUCAUUAGCUGUGGUUGCUGAUGCGUCUGUGGUUGAAUCAUCAGCAUACAUGGACACACAGGCUUUGUUUAAUGUAGAGGUCGACCGAUUAUGAUUUCUCAACGCCGAUACUGAUUUAUUGGAGGACCAAAAAAAGCCAAUACCGACUAAUCGGACGAAUUAAAAAAUAAAUAAUAAUAAUUAUGU